rnacentral:tRNA from 1 species
GGUGCGAUACCCAAAUGGUAAGGGAGCAGUCUGCAAAACUGUUAUUCGCCGGUUCGAUUCCGGCUCGCACCU